GGGCUCAAAGAUACCUGAGGGGGGAUGUGAUGACCAUAAUUGUGCAUCCAUUUGUCGCUAGCUUUUGAGGAAAGCUUUCAAAGAAAAUGGUGGAGGCCCAUCCUUGCCAAGCUCCUGAUGUAGAUAUUGUCUGACAACUGUAGUUUGCUGUAUCAGUCUUUCCAUCGAAGAAUAGCUAGGCAGAUUUGUAUGUGCAAGGAUCGCUUGAUUCAGACUGUCC
rnacentral:misc_RNA from 1 species